GAUGAACGCUGGCGGCGUGCCUAAUACAUGCAAGUCGAGCGAACAGAUGAGGAGCUUGCUCCUCUGACGUUAGCGGCGGACGGGUGAGUAACACGUGGAUAACCUACCUAUAAGACUGGGAUAACUUCGGGAAAUCGGAGCUAAUACCGGAUAAUAUAUUGAACCGCAUGGUUCAAUAGUGAAAGACGGUUUUGCUGUCACUUAUAGAUGGAUCCGCGCCGCAUUAGCUAGUUGGUAAGGUAACGGCUUACCAAGGCAACGAUGCGUAGCCGACCUGAGAGGGUGAUCGGCCACACUGGAACUGAGACACGGUCCAGACUCCUACGGGAGGCAGCAGUAGGGAAUCUUCCGCAAUGGGCGAAAGCUUGACGGAGCAACGCCGCGUGAGUGAUGAAGGUCUUCGGAUCGUAAAACUCUGUUAUUAGGGAAGAACAAAUGUGUAAGUAACUAUGCACGUCUGGACGGUACCUAAUCAGAAAGCCACGGCGAACUACGU
rnacentral:rRNA from 1 species